rnacentral:rRNA from 1 species
AUUGAACGCUGGCGGCAUGCCUUACACAUGCAAGUCGAACGGCAGCACGGGAGCAAUCCUAGUGGCGAGUGGCGAACGGGUGAGUAAAGUAUCGGAACGUGCCCAGUCGUGGGGGAUAACGUAGCGAAAGUUACGCUAAUACCGCAUACGAUCUAUGGAUGAAAGCGGGGGAUCCCAAGACCUCGCGCGAUUGGAGCGGCCGAUAUCAGAUUAGGGAGUUGGUGGGGUAAAGGCUCACCAAGCCGACGAUCUGUAGCUGGUCUGAGAGGACGACCAGCCACACUGGGACUGAGACACGGCCCAGACUCCUACGGGAGGCAGCAGUGGGGAAUUUUGGACAAUGGGCGAAAGCCUGAUCCAGCCAUGCCGCGUGCAGGAUGAAGGCCUUCGGGUUGUAAACUGCUUUUGUACGGAACGAAAAGGUUUGGCCUAAUAAGCUGAGCUCAUGACGGUACCGUAAGAAUAAGCACCGGCUAACUACGUGCCAGCAGCCGCAGUAA